rnacentral:lncRNA from 1 species
GCCGGGUGGGGAAACGUGUUUUCCAGUCAGCGAGCGCCGUCGUCGCUCGGGCAACAGCGUCCUAGCGACACCGCGUGGGCUGGGCCUCUGUGGCCAGGGGGCCCUGGAAUCCGCGCGCCGAGUUGGCUCCCAUGAGUCGGAGGAUUGAGAAAGGGGCCGGGCUGUCCACCUCUCCCGUGCAGAGAUCUCUGCAUCGCCCUUGCUGUGACCCCUCCAGCUGACUGGCACAUGGAGACAGAACCAGCUCUAGCAGAAUGCUCAGGAGUCUGGGGCCCGCCUGGAGCAGGAAUCCACUGGGAGCCCACUGGCUGUUAACAAGGCAGUUGCUUUCGUAAAGCCUCUUGACUGGGAUCAAGUGAAUGUUUAAGUGCUGUCUAGGACAUCGAUGCCAUUCAGAAGAGGAGAUGUAAAGGGAAGGAGUGUUUGGG